rnacentral:rRNA from 1 species
UUACCUACGGGAGGCAGCAGUGAGGAAUAUUGGUCAAUGGUCUCGAGCCUGAACCAGCCAAGUCGCGUGAGGGAAGACGGUCCUAUGGAUUGUAAACCUCUUUUGUCGGGGAGCAAAAGACGCCACGUGUGGCGUUCCGAGAGCACCCGAAGAAAAAGCAUCGGCUAACUCCGUGCCAGCAGCCGCGGUAAUACGGAGGAUGCGAGCGUUAUCCGGAUUUAUUGGGUUUCAAGGGUGCGCAGGCGGAAGAUCAAGUCAGCGGUAGAAUUGAGAGGCUCAA